rnacentral:lncRNA from 1 species
CAAGUUAACUUAAAAUUUUCUAUAUUGUGGAUCAUUGGUAUCUUGGCUUUAUUAUCAAGAACAUGAUCACAACUAAUAUGUCUGCAUAAUCACUUUAUGAAAGUGAAGUGCACCAUUGGAGAUUGAUCUAUAUUUUGAUGAAGACAAACAUGAAGACCAACAUGAAGACAAGCUUGAAGAUCAUUCAACAUAAAACAUCCCGAGGACUCAAGUGGUUACUUAUUAGACUUAGGUUAUAUUUCUUUAUUAUCUUUUUAGAAAUCUAAGAUGCUUGCCAUAGAUAUUGAGUCUAGGUUAGGUAAACCUAGGUGUGAGUCUCAUAAUACUUAAUAAAAUAAUUAAUCCACUAAAAUGAGACAUCAUCUAGAGAUAUAUGAUAAUUAGGUUCAUGUAUUUGAAUAUAUUGAUUUUGUACAUUAAAGGUAUUAUAUUUAGAAAUCAUGUAUUGCAUGAGCAUAUAUCAUAUACGUAGUUCACCAUGACAAGUUGAUUUUACAAUGUUUAAUGGAUUAUGAAUUUUUUUAACCCAUUAACAGACAUUGUUGAAUCAAUUAUGAAUAUUGUUAAUCAAUUAACAGAAUCACAGUUUUAACAAAAAACUGAAAACCGUUAUUUUCACCAACCCGUUAAUCGAUUAAAUGAGCAUCUGUGGCAUAAGAAUCCUUACAUUUUUACAUCAUUCUCUCUGCAUAUUUUCGAGUUACUUACUGUCAUAUCUAGGAGAAAAUAUUACAUGUUGCAUUAGGAGAAGGAUUAGAUCAUGCUAAGGCUUUAAGUUUCAUAUUCAUAUUGCAAGUUCUUUAAAAUCCUUCUUGCAUAAUUCUUGUGUUUCUUGGAAAUAAAAGAGAUAGUUUUUAAUGAUUGCAUAAUUUCAGAAACCUCGUGCAUGUACAUUCAUAUUAGACUAGGAAGUCUUGUGAGUUCCUGACCGCAAAACGAACCAGGAUAAAAUCCUUGUGCAAUCUUUUCUAUCCCUUUCUCUUUUACAUUUCAAGUUGUAAUAUUUCAUGAUAUAACAUGAUAAUUUGUAUAUUGGUUAUAUGCUAUAACUAGUUUAAUUCUGUGUAAAAAUAUUUGUAUAUUGCCUGAUUUCUCGUAACCUACCAUGCAAGAGAGCUGUUAAACAAGAUUUUUUGAAUAAUGUUUUUACUUUGUUUAAUCGAUUAUGAAUAGUGCUUAAUUGAUUAACUAGACAUUUUUCAGCAAGUGUGCAAAAACCCAAAAAGCGGAACUUGAGCUCCGCCACACCUAUUCAACCCCCCCCCCCCCCCCUUCUAGGUGUACUCUGCCACUGAUACCUAACAAGUGGUAUCAGAGCUAGUACAACGUGCUAGCUCAACCGCAUACGCAUGAUCUGAAAGGGACUACAUACGGGUUCUACUAACCCAUUUGGCAGUGAUGGCGCAUCCAUUAAUCGUUCUCCCGUAUUCAGUGGUGAUGGUUAUGCCUAUUGGAAGGUUCGUAUGAGAAUCUAUAUCGAGGUAGUUAACACACACAUUUGGGAUUGCAUUAUCAAUGGUCCAUAAAUUCCACUUCAUAUGGUGGAUGGCGAGUCUAAAGAAAAGCCUAAAGGCUUAUGGACGAAUAUUGAGAAAAGAAAGGUCCAACAUGACCUUAAGGCUAAGAACAUCAUUACUUCGACCUUAUCUUAUGACGAAUUCUUUAGAGUCUCGCGGUGCCUUAAUGCAAAAUAAAUGUGGGAUAUUUCGCAAAUUACCCACGAAGGCACGGGUGAAGUUAAGCGCGCUAGACUAAAUGCGCUUACGCAUGAGUACGAGUUAUUUUGCAAGCUUCCUAAUGAAUCUAUAUGUAAUAUGCAAAAAUGUUUUACUCAUGUUGUAAAUCAUUUGAUCGCCCUUGAUAAAACUUUUACUAAUGAUGAUUUGUCUAACAAAGUUUUGCGGUGUCUUGAUAGGAGAUGGCAACCAAAGGUAACCGCGAUAAUGGAAUCAAAGAACUUAGACAAUAUUCCAUUAGCUACUCUAUUUGGGAAACUCAAGAACAUGAAAUGAAGUUAGGGCGCUUGAGACUGAAUGAAGAGUCAGAAAAGAACGGAAUCACACCCAAG